UCUCAAGUUUCCACAUGUUCAAACUUCGGUUGCCAUGAGAUCUCUACUACUAAAACGUUUACAGUCCAAUCGUCCACAGGGUUACCGCUCCCGCAACCUCACCUGGACACUCCACAUCAUCGAUCCGCGGCAUCCUGACAUCCCCAAUCGGUGCUCGUGCCCGUCCCUCCUUCCCAAUCGGCAGCGGCAGCUCCUUCCCACUCGGCAGUGGCGGUGCCACCUAGCUCUCAAUCGGCAGCGAUAGCCUCGCCCUUAUCCUGACACCAAAGCUGCAGCUCCCGUCCGCCCCGCGCCUCUCCGCCCCACCCUCAUCGACGUCGCUGCCAGGGUCAGGGCGCUGGGCCGCUGUCACCACUCGACGCCGACGCUGCAACACUCCUCCACCAUCGCGGCCAACGCUGACACUAACCCCGACCCCCAGGUGACCAGGGAGUUGGACCGCAACCGUGGCGUCGCUCCUGCUCCUGGUUCACGCCGACCACCACCAGCAGCCGCCCCCACCUUCCUAAAGUCUCUGCGUCUCCCUCGAGGUGCAUGGCUAUCGGAGGUGCGUGGCCGCCCAGCAGCAGAAGACGCUUGAAGCUCCUGCCAAAGGUGUGUGGACACCGACAAGUAGCAGCUCGUGCCGGAGGUGCGUGGUCGCCGACCAGCAGUAGAAGACGCUUGAAGCAGCAGCCACCGCUGAAGUUCCACCGGAGAUAAGAACAGCCGUUCAGAAGCAGAGCAGCAUGUUCUCUUCAAUUAUUUUUCCAGGAUUCUGAAUUUCUGCUAAUUGUGAGUGAGACAGGUUUCCCAAGCUUGUAUCCUUCUUUUAUUUGAUAAAUAAAAAAGAGUUCUCCAAGCUGCAAACAUAUAACAUAUAUCUCUUUCAUAGUUUUGUUCAUGCCGAUUGGGAGCUCGCAUUCUCUGAGUUUCAUUGUCUUAAUGUACAUCUGACAGAAUAAUAAAAUAGGAUGAGUCGAUGGUUGGCAUUGUCAUGGUGAUGCUUGAUGCCGAUCAGUUAGCAUAACCAGCUGCCAAAGCAACUACAAAAAUCAGAUGUAGAAUAAAUUUUGUGCUCAAUAUAAUGAUAUUGCAACUAAAGUUUCAGAUUCCCCAAUUCCUUUGAUGGUUGUGUUGGAUAUCUCUGCUUAUUCUAGUGGUCGAGGCAACUCCUACGAAGUUGGAAGUGCGCUAGGGAAACUCAAGGUGACACUCAAGAUGAACAUGAUAUGAAGCAUCGUUGUCCUGAGAGGCACCAACUUGUGGUCAAGCCGCUUCUCAAGGGAAAGGGGGUGUCAUGUGGGUCUUUGAUGAGUGGGAAAGUGGCCAGGCUUGUUUAGUCCUUGUUUAGUUGGUGAAAAAUUUUAGAUUUAGCUACUGUAGCACUUUCGUUUGUAUUUGACAACUUUAUCCAAUCAUAGACUCUCAAAAGAUUCAUCUCGUAAAUUACAAACAA